UCAUGUUGAGAUGUAAUCUCCAAUAUUGGAGAUGGGCUCUGGUGGGAGGUGACUAUAUCAUGAAGACACAUUUCUCCUACAUGGUUAGCACCAUCCCCUUGAUAAUGUCCUCACAAUAGUGAAUGAUUUCAUAUGAGAUCUGGUUGUUUAAAGUUGUGUGACACCUCUCCCACUCUCUCUUCCUCCCUAUCUUGCCACGUGAUAUGCUUGUUGCUGCUGCUGCUUCUGCCGUAAAUAAAAGUUCCCUGAGGUCUCCCCAGAAGUUAGGCAGAUCCCAGCACCAUGAUUGUACAGGCUGCAGAACUAGCUAUGUAUACCAACUACAUUCCUAACAAGAUUUCGUUCCAUUUUAUAUCAUCUCUGAAUUUUCCACACUAACGGAGUCCACAGACUCUAACUGGGGACAUGGUCAUUUGGGAUCAAGACCGCAUGCAUUUCUGAAUCUAUCUUUUGAAGAACAGAAAUAAGUCUGACCUCUGCCCAGUGAGAUGCAAACAAAGCUUCAGAUGCUGCUGGUAAACCUAAGAAGAUAAUAACAGUUCUUGCCAUUUUAGAAUAUGUAUUAUGUUGGAGGAGGGACAUUGAAAACAAUAAUAAAACAUACCAGUAAAUUUUAGUUAAGAUGGUGAGGGGAGGCUUGAGCUGGUGGGGGACGGGCAUCUGGUUGGAGUUACCAGAAGGAGACCACUGGGGGUUGGUCCAUGGUGAAAAUGGAAUGGCGAAAGUAAAAUUAGAAAGAUAGAUAGAUGAAAGUCUUUGUUAAGAAAUCUGAAAUCUGAGUGCAGUGAGAAGCGAAUUG